GACGGGUCAAAAAUAACAUUAGUCAGAAACGCAAAACUCUAUUCCUUCCUGCCUGCAGCCUGCUGGUGUGAUAUUUGCUUUAGAACAGCGUUGGCAAAAAAAAAGAAGAAAGAAAAAUCAUCCAGGAGAGUGAGAUAAAGGCAUUGGUAGAUGCAAAAGGAAAAUAACCAGAAGACUCUAAACCUUUGAUUGUGCACCACUGUGGAACCUUCCAUUCCUUUGGCCACUCAGCCUCCAGAAGUGAGCUCAGAGUCAGACAGUUAAUGGGGCGAUCCACCCUCCACAGAAAGGUAACACGCUGGACAGAAAUCAUUGUAAGUCAGUCAUGUGGGUUUGAGAUAUCCCUGGGGAGAAGCCGUAGCUCAUCCCUGGAAGAAAAGGAUAUCAAGAAACAUCAUCCUGAGUGUUGUUGUUACAAGGGAAGAUUUAUUAGUUCACCAUUUCAGGUAUUUCAUUUGGAACAAGGUAGUCUGUCUAAAUUAAGAAGCAUGGAGAAAAAUCCACGUAGCCACAGCAGGGUGCCGGAGCAGUAGUGGUUUCGGGUACAGGAGUCCAGACAGGCUUGUGUAAGAGUUUGGAAAGAAGAAAGGGGGAGAGAGAAGUGUAGAGUAUGGGGGACAAAGAGAAAAGGUGAAAUCCACGUAGCCACAGCAGGGUGCCUGAUCAGGCCAGUGGUUCAGGCAAAGCAAGAGUCCAGAUACACAUGCUUGUGUACAGGGCAUAGAGGAAAGGGGGGGGGGAGUAAGAGAGACAAAAAGAAAAGGAGAAAUCCACAUAUUCACAGCAGGGUAUUAGGUCAGGCUAAAAGGAGAGAGAGUGUACAGACUCAGGGCACAGGAGUCCAGACAGGAGCUUGGAUAGAGGAAAUGGGAAAAGAGAAUCAGAGACAAAAGGAGAGAAGGAGAAUGAAUGACUGCUUUAAUAUUUCUGUCUCAAGGACUCAUUAGCAACUCUAAUUUCUGUUUGUUAAAACGGCUAAAUGGAACCGUCUGGGGCUUCCAGAACCUUUUCAAAACAAAUAUGGCUCUGCGGUCGAGGGCACCUGCUGGGUCUUAGAUGCACUUAGCAUUUAACUUAAUACACC
rnacentral:lncRNA from 1 species